rnacentral:sRNA from 1 species
GAGCGGGCUAAGGCGCUACGGAAAGUGGGUAGAGUCAAAAAGAUUAUGAACGCGAAUCUCUCCUCCCACCUACACAUCUUCAAGAAGAAAACCCUACCACGUUCGUACAGCAAUAAACGAGGAUCUUUUCCAGGACCUACAUCAAAAAACCUAAAUCAGAAGCAGGCGGGUGGCUUAAUACAAUUUAUUGAACAACAUGAGGAGCAGAGUUCAGAGCCACAGUAGCCACAUAAGUGAGUGCUGGAAUUAAAGGCGUGCCCCAUCACUACCCGGUUUUCACUUGCCCAUCUUGGUGUGAGGGGAAAAUCUGUAGUAUCAGAAGACCAGAAGAUUACCAAAUCUGGGAACAUGUGGGACGGUGAUUACGACCAUGGAUACCAGGUAUAAAAAGUCUUAAGGAACUUCCUGCUAUAGUCACAUUUUUUCCUUCCCUUAGCUCUGCAGGUAUCUGAUAAGGUCUGGCUCGGAUCUACGGAUUCAGCUUUUUAUGUAAAAAGCUUCUUCGCUAAAUAGGUAGAAACUUUU